UGUUCACUGUCUAUUUAUAUAUACAAUCACUUUCUAUUUAUAACCACUGUCUAUUUAUGUAUGGUUCCACGUAAAAAUCAGGCAAAAUCGCAUUUUCGUGAUAAGUCCAUGUUCACGAAAUGAACCCAAACUUAGCAUACUAACUCACCGUAAUAUGUUUGGCAAACAUACAAAGUAGUUUUGAUUUAUUUCGCCUUGUUCCAAAAUUAUGGACAGAUAAUUAUGAACAUGGAGAAUUCACGCUUAGUGCAAAUCUAUACAAAACACUACUUGUAAUCCCUUUGAAAUCUAAGAACAGCAAAGCAGGUAUGAAAAUAUAUCAUUAUAUAACAUUAAACAAAUAAAAAAGGCAUGCUCUGAAAUAAAUAUUUUUUUUGAAAGUUUCAAUAUAACAUUUUAAAACCUCUCUGAAUGUUUCGAUUUUAAUGCAAUUUCGGUUAUCGUUCUUGAAUUUAACCUCGAUGAUCGCUAGGGGCGCUGCUUUGUCAACACACAAAGUGCUCGGAAUAUGGCGGAUCCAAAACUGAAUGCCGUGUAGGACAAUAUUCCGACAGAGUGUGAACUACCAUCAAGCCUCCUCUAAAGGAAACGAAUAUAUUUACCUUCGGAGAGUGUCAGAAAUACAUUGAUGUAUAUGGCGUCACUGAAGAUAGAACGUGUGUGGAGCAGCCGACAACGAAGACCGAGCAACAUAUCUUAUAUGACAUGUCACCAAGUCGGCGCAUUCCGGUCUCUGCAAAACCCAAGGAUAUACUUAAAGUGGUAACAGGAGGAAAAUCAAUCGAACCAAGUGAAAGUACAAGACACUAUUACAAAAGGAAAGCAAAGGAGUCCAUAAAUUCAAUGUUGAACAUCAAGACAGUCUAAAAUAUUGAAUCCAAACAAAAUAUCAAAACUCUAUGAAGAAAUAAAUGACAAAUUGUCAAAUAAACAUGAAAGCAUUCUUA